UACGGAGGGUGCGAGCGUUGUCCGGAAUCACUGGGCGUAAAGGGCGCGUAGGCGGCAUGCCAAGCGUGUGGUGAAAGCCCGGGGCUCAACCCCGGGUCGGCCGUGCGGACUGGCGUGCUCGAGCACUGUAGGGGCGGGUGGAAUUCCGGGUGUAGCGGUGGAAUGCGUAGAGAUCCGGAAGAACACCGGUGGCGAAGGCGGCCCGCUGGGAUACUUGCUGACGCUGAGGCGCGACAGCGUGGGGAGCAAACAGG
rnacentral:rRNA from 1 species